UUUUAAGGUAAGACCCCAAGAAGACUACUUGGUUGAUAGGCUCAAGGUGUAAGCGCAGUAAUGUGUUCAGCUUAUGAGUACUAAUAGGUCGAGGACUUGACCAA
rfam:[Clostridium] thermoalcaliphilum strain DSM 7309 CLOTH_contig000013, whole genome shotgun sequence.